rnacentral:rRNA from 1 species
GAUGAACGCUGGCGGCGUGCCUAAUACAUGCAAGUCGAGCGAACGGACGAGAAGCUUGCUUCUCUGAUGUUAGCGGCGGACGGGUGAGUAACACGUGGAUAACCUACCUAUAAGACUGGGAUAACUUCGGGAAACCGGAGCUAAUACCGGAUAAUAUUUUGAACCGCAUGGUUCAAAAGUGAAAGACGGUCUUGCUGUCACUUAUAGAUGGAUCUGCGGUGCAUUAGCUAGUUGGUAAGGUAACGGCUUACCAAGGCAACGAUGCAUAGCCGACCUGAGAGGGUGAUCGGCCACACUGGAACUGAGACACGGUCCAGACUCCUACGGGAGGCAGCAGUAGGGAAUCUUCCGCAAUGGGCGAAAGCCUGACGGAGCAACGCCGCGUGAGUGAUGAAGGUCUUCGGAUCGUAAAACUCUGUUAUUAGGGAAGAACAUAUGUGUAAGUAACUGUGCACAUCUUGACGGUACCUAAUCAGAAAGCCACGGCUAACUACGUGCCAGCAGCCGCGGUAAUACGUAGGUGGCAAGCGUUAUCCGGAAUUAUUGGGCGUAAAGCGCGCGUAGCCGGUUUUUUAAGUCUGAUGUGAAAGCCCACGGCUCAACCGUGGAGGGUCAUUGGAAACUGGAAAACUUGAGUGCAGAAGAGGAAAGUGGAAUUCCAUGUGUAGCGGUGAAAUGCGCAGAGAUAUGGAGGAACACCAGUGGCGAAGGCGACUUUCUGGUCUGUAACUGACGCUGAUGUGCGAAAGCGUGGGGAUCAAACAGGAUUAGAUACCCUGGUAGUCCACGCCGUAAACGAUGAGUGCUAAGUGUUAGGGGGUUUCCGCCCCUUAGUGCUGCAGCUAACGCAUUAAGCACUCCGCCUGGGGAGUACGACCGCAAGGUUGAAACUCAAAGGAAUUGACGGGGACCCGCACAAGCGGUGGAGCAUGUGGUUUAAUUCGAAGCAACGCGAAGAACCUUACCAAAUCUUGACAUCCUUUGACAACUCUAGAGAUAGAGCCUUCCCCUUCGGGGGACAAAGUGACAGGUGGUGCAUGGUUGUCGUCAGCUCGUGUCGUGAGAUGUUGGGUUAAGUCCCGCAACGAGCGCAACCCUUAAGCUUAGUUGCCAUCAUUAAGUUGGGCACUCUAAGUUGACUGCCGGUGACAAACCGGAGGAAGGUGGGGAUGACGUCAAAUCAUCAUGCCCCUUAUGAUUUGGGCUACACACGUGCUACAAUGGACAAUACAAAGGGCAGCGAAACCGCGAGGUCAAGCAAAUCCCAUAAAGUUGUUCUCAGUUCGGAUUGUAGUCUGCAACUCGACUACAUGAAGCUGGAAUCGCUAGUAAUCGUAGAUCAGCAUGCUACGGUGAAUACGUUCCCGGGUCU